UACGUAGGUGGCAAGCGUUGUCCGGAUUUACUGGGCGUAAAGAGCGCGCAGGCGGUCGUUCAAGUCGCGUGUGAAAGCCCCCGGCUCAACUGGGGAGGGUCACGCGAUACUGAUCGACUCGAAGGCAGGAGAGGGUAGUGGAAUUCCCGGUGUAGUGGUGAAAUGCGUAGAUAUCGGGAGGAACAUCGGUGGCGAAGGCGGCAUCCUGGACCGGUAUUGACGCUGAGGCGCGAAAGCCAGGGGAGCAAACGGG
rnacentral:rRNA from 1 species